rnacentral:rRNA from 1 species
AUUGAACGCUGGCGGCGUGCUUAACACAUGCAAGUCGAUCGGUAACGCGGGGGCAACCCUGGCGACGAGAGGCGGACGGGUGAGGAACGCUUGGGAAUCUGCCUAUCAGCGGGGGACAACACGGGGAAACUCGUGCUAAUACCGCAUACGCUCUACGGAGGAAAGCCGGGGACCGCAAGGCCUGGCACUGAUAGAUGAGCCCAAGCCGGAUUAGCUAGUUGGCGGGGUAACGGCCCACCACGGCGAUGAUCCGUAGCUGGGCUGAGAGGACGAUCAGCUACACUGGAACUGAGACACGGGCCAGAAUCCUACGGGAGGCAGCAGUGGGGAAUAUUGGACAAUAGGGGAAACCCUGAUCCAGCGACGCCGCGUGGGUGAAGAAGGCCUGCGGGUUGUAAAGCCCUUUCGGUAGGGACGAAAGCUCUCGACCUAACACGUCGGGAGGUUGACUUAACCUACAAAAGAAGCACCGGCUAACUCUGUGCCAGCCGCCGCGGUAAUAC